AGUAACGGCGAGUGAAGCGGCAACAGCUCAAAUUUGAAAUCUGGCCCCCUCCGCGGGGGUCCGAGUUGUAAUUUGCAGAGGAUGCUUCUGGCGCGGCGCCUUCCGAGUUCCCUGGAACGGGACGCCACAGAGGGUGAGAGCCCCGUCCGGUCGGACGCCAAGCCUAUGUGAAGCACCUUCGACGAGUCGGGUAGUUUGGGAAUGCUGCCCUAAAUGGGAGGUAUAUGUCUUCUAAAGCUAAAUACCGGCCAGAGACCGAUAGCGCACAAGUAGAGUGAUCGAAAGAUGAAAAGCACUUUGAAAAGAGGGUUAAACAGUACGUGAAAUUGUUGAAAGGGAAGCGCUCAUGACCAGACUUGGGCCCGGGGGAUCACCCGGCGUUCUUUCGCCGGGGCACUUCGCCGGCUGCCCAGGCCAGCAUCAGUUCGCGGCGGGGGACAAAGGCUUCGGGAACGUGGCUCCCUACGGGGAGUGUUAUAGCCCGCUGCGUAAUGCCCUGCCGCGGACUGAGGUUCGCGCUUCCGCAAGGAUGCUGGCGUAAUGGUCAUCAGCGACCCGUCUUGAAACACGGACCAAGGAGUCGUCUUCGUAUGCGAGUGUUCGGGUGUCAAACCCCUACGCGGAAUGAAAGUGAACGCAGGUGAGAGCUUCGGCGCAUCACCGACCGAUCCUGAUGUUCUCGGAUGGAUUUGAGUAAGAGCAUACGGGGCCGGACCCGAAAGAAGGUGAACUAUGCCUGUAUAGGGUGAAGCCAGAGGAAACUCUGGUGGAGGCUCGCAGCGGUUCUGACGUGCAAAUCGAUCGUCAAAUAUGGGCAUGGGGGGCGAAAGACAA
rnacentral:rRNA from 1 species